ACCAGCUGCUCCCCGCGCCGGCACCCGCGCGCCGCUGCUCCGCCGGCGCUGCCUCCCUCGACCCGUGGCUCCCCCUCGCAACUUGGCGGGCCUCCUCCCUUUUGUCCGGCCCGGUCCGGCCGCCGCCGCCCCCCGCGCCUGGCGCCGAGCUCCCGGGUCCCCGGGCCGGCUGUCGGUGCCGGCAGGGCGCGGAGGGGGCGGGGGCCGCGGCUCGUCCCCCAGCGGAUGAGCUGCCGCGGACGGGGCGCGGGCGGACGAUGGAACUCCACAUCCUGGAGCACCGGCUGCAAGUUGCCAGCGUCGCCAAGGAGAGUAUCCCGCUGUUCACCUACGGGCCUGAUCAAACUUGCCUUCCUGUUCUCCAAGACCAGGUGCAAGUUCUUCAGUCUGACUGAGACACCAGAGGAUUACACUAUCAUUGUCGAUGAGGAAGGAUUCCUAGAGCUGCCCUCCUCGGAGCACCUGAGUGUGGCGGAUGCCACCUGGCUGGCCCUGAACGUGGUGUCCGGCGGUGGCAGCUUCUCCAGCUCCCAGCCUAUUGGCAUGACCAAGAUCGCCAAGUCAGUCAUCGCCCCACUGGCUGACCAGAACAUAUCCGUGUUCAUGCUGUCCACGUAUCAGACAGACUUCAUCCUGGUGCUCAAGCGGGACCUGCCCUUUGUCACCCACACGUUGUCAUCAGAGUUCACCAUCCUGUGGUCAGUGGCUAGACUGUAGCAGCCGAGAACCUCGGCAUCACCAGUGGCUUCGUGAAGCCCAAGCUGGUCCAGAUGCCGGUCAUCCACCCACUGUCCAGCCCGAGCAACAGGUUCUGUGUCACCAGCCUGGACCCCGACACGCUGCCUGCUGUUGCCACACUCCUCAUGGAUGUCAUGUCCUACUUCAAUGGGGCCUUGGUGUACCUUGUUGUAGUGUUUGAAAACAUCUGAGGCUGCAUCCAUCUCCAGCACCCCAUAAAGCAACAGCUUGCAGAACCCGGCUAGGAGGCGGCGCCGCUGGUGUAGCCGCUCUAUCUGUAAAUGAUCCUCCUGGGAAUCACCUGGCUCACAUGGAAGGCAAAAGGGAAUCACAGACUUAAGCUUCCUGCCCUAUAUUUCUGAGCUACACCCAAGCCCCAGCCCUUACUGAGCCCCAGGUAUAGAGUCACUGCACCACUGCCCAGGUCUCCCGGCUGGAUGAAGACGUGGUCCAUGAGGAAGCUGGCUAGCUCAGACUGGAGAGUAGCUUCAGGAAAAAAGACAAGUGGCCUAAGGAAAUCACGGCCCCCAACAAUCAUCUGAGGGCUAAAGAUGAGAAGUAGAUCACUUAAUAAGACAAAAGCCUGUAGGGGGAAAAGAAAGGAUGUUUAAAAGGACAGAAUGUUUCCCAAGGUAGAAAUGACACUGUCAAUUUCUCCUUGGAAUGGGGGCAGGGAUACUCGCCUUGUUGCUCCCACUUGAGUCAGUACUCACCUGCUCCUGGAUCUCAGUAUCCACAUCUGAGAGGCAACUCUGGCAGAGUUCACAGAAGGCCACCAUUCUGUCCCUCAAACUCGACAGCUGCUUCUGUGGGCACAGUGGCUUGAAGGGGAAGAAUGAAGACACAGACUCCUCUGUUCCCAUUAUCCCAUCUAAGACCCACACUCACCUGGGAAGCAUCUGAUUUAGAAAUGUGGGUUAGUGUCCAGAGAAUGGAAAAAUAGACAAGAGUCAAGGCUGGCAGGAUAACCUGUAACAACAAAGGGUUUGAAAAAUGAGGUUUGGGUUAGGAGAGGGAGAGACAGAUAGCCAGAAACACACCAGUGAAGAGGAGAGAAAAUGAGUAAAGGGAGAGCUAAUUCCUUUUCCAGUGGAAAAUGAGUGAUAUUCUGGACAUUCUUCAGAGGCAUCUACACGAAGUAGAAAUGUCACCGCUCCCUAAUUUACUCUACGUCUUCUAGAAUCCCUCAAUAUUAUCCUUGGCUUCCAGGAAAUCCAAGAAGACCCUGGAAGUAGAGUCCACCUUCUAAGAGAGGAAUGUAAGAGGUGACCCCCACCCACCUGAUCUUCCUCGCUUUGUCCACUCCACGCACUGAGACUUGACACACCUAGUGGCCACCUAGAACGUAGGUCCUUAAAAUCUAGCCCCCCAGCCCCCAACCCAUCUCUAGCCUGUCCACUCACCUGGUGAGGAACCUCUCCUGUGUCCACAGCCUUCUGCAGGAGUUGGCAACAUGGCUCAUAGAGCUCCCAGCGAGUCAGGUCAUGAGUGCUUUGGGGGAGAAAGGGGAAUGUUAUACUGGAAAAGAACAGAGGGAACCAACUCCACAGACACCAGUAAAAACGGGAUGGGGAAGAGGAGGAAAGCCACUCACUUGUAGAAGGCAGAGAGGCGUUUCAGAGUGGCUGCCAGAUUAUAUACCUCAUCCUCAUCUAGGAAGGACGACUGAGAAGGAAAGAAGAUCCACAAUAGCAUUUCCCCCAGAACUCAUCAGUCCACAUCCCCCGUCUUGCAGCCCCUCCCACCCUUGUUUGGGGUGUCCCAUUGUCCAGCCCCAGCUCCUACCUGUAACAGCUCUUCAAGCUCCUGCUGGAAGCGGUCAGUCAGCAAAUCUACUAGCUGGCUGCGGGCAAAGUCCGCCCGGCUGAAGAAAGUGAAUUCGGGAUUACAGAGCAGGUAGAGGGCAUGCGCCCCAGCCUCAAGCACCGCUGGCUCUGCAUGCUUCACCACCACCUCCUGGAGUUGCUGCAGGAACAGCUCCAGGUGCUGAGAAGAAAAGGCAGAAGAUGGUGUGCUGUGGGGAUGGGAGGAGGACACUCUUCUGGCGGGAAGUGGAACGGGGUUAAAAGCAUUAAACUUCAAGGAUAAGAUGCCUAAGAAAA
rnacentral:lncRNA from 1 species